AGUCCCUUACACGGGGCAAGGCCACGACGGCUGGUUGGUAGGCCAAGGGGGCAAUGGGCCGAGAUCGGCAACUGGAAGCUCUAGGUGGUGAUGCCUAGGGUGGGCGGUGGCGCUUAACUAGGACCCCCAGCUGGAAGCCCCAGAACUAGUUAAAGCGGCCCGAGAGGACGGACGCGGUGGUCGGUUGGUUAUAGGGGUAUAUGUAACUAGUGUUAUGAACCUGCGGCGUAACCUAAGCGGAUCAUUGGUUAAGAAAGGGUUGUCGGGAGGAACCAGGAAACAACCCUGGAACAGGAACAACCUAGGAUCCAGGUCACGUGAUAAGAGGAUCACUUGGAUAGAUAGGAUAGACAGAGUGAGCGAGG
rnacentral:sRNA from 1 species